rnacentral:rRNA from 1 species
ACUUAUAUUCUGUAGCAAGGUUAACCGAAUAGGGGAGCCGAAGGGAAACCGAGUCUUAACUGGGCGUUAAGUUGCAGGGUAUAGACCCGAAACCCGGUGAUCUAGCCAUGGGCAGGUUGAAGGUUGGGUAACACUAACUGGAGGACCGAACCGACUAAUGUUGAAAAAUUAGCGGAUGACUUGUGGCUGGGGGUGAAAGGCCAAUCAAACCGGGAGAUAGCUGGUUCUCCCCGAAAGCUAUUUAGGUAGCGCCUCGUGAAUUCAUCUCCGGGGGUAGAGCACUGUUUCGGCAAGGGGGUCAUCCCGACUUACCAACCCGAUGCAAACUGCGAAUACCGGAGAAUGUUAUCACGGGAGACACACGGCGGGUGCUAACGUCCGUCGUGAAGAGGGAAACAACCCAGACCGCCAGCUAAGGUCCCAAAGUCAUGGUUAAGUGGGAAACGAUGUGGGAAGGCCCAGACAGCCAGGAUGUUGGCUUAGAAGCAGCCAUCAUUUAAAGAAAGCGUAAUAGCUCACUGGUCGAGUCGGCCUGCGCGGAAGAUGUAACGGGGCUAAACCAUGCACCGAAGCUGCGGCAGCGACGCUGAUGCGUUGUUGGGUAGGGGAGCGUUCUGUAAGCCUGUGAAGGUGUGCUGUGAGGCAUGCUGGAGGUAUCAGAAGUGCGAAUGCUGACAUAAGUAACGAUAAAGCGGGUGAAAAGCCCGCUCGCCGGAAGACCAAGGGUUCCUGUCCAACGUUAAUCGGGGCAGGGUGAGUCGACCCCUAAGGCGAGGCCGAAAGGCGUAGUCGAUGGGAAACAGGUUAAUAUUCCUGUACUUGGUGUUACUGCGAAGGGGGGACGGAGAAGGCUAUGUUGGCCGGGCGACGGUUGUCCCGGUUUAAGCGUGUAGGCUGGUUUUCCAGGCAAAUCCGGAAAACUAAGGCUGAGGCGUGAUGACGAGGCACUACGGUGCUGAAGCAACAAAUGCCCUGCUUCCAGGAAAAGCCUCUAAGCAUCAGGUAACAUCAAAUCGUACCCCAAACCGACACAGGUGGUCAGGUAGAGAAUACCAAGGCGCUUGAGAGAACUCGGGUGAAGGAACUAGGCAAAAUGGUGCCGUAACUUCGGGAGAAGGCACGCUGAUAUGUAGGUGAAGUCCCUCGCGGAUGGAGCUGAAAUCAGUCGAAGAUACCAGCUGGCUGCAACUGUUUAUUAAAAACACAGCACUGUGCAAACACGAAAGUGGACGUAUACGGUGUGACGCCUGCCCGGUGCCGGAAGGUUAAUUGAUGGGGUCAGCGCAAGCGAAGCUCUUGAUCGAAGCCCCGGUAAACGGCGGCCGUAACUAUAACGGUCCUAAGGUAGCGAAAUUCCUUGUCGGGUAAGUUCCGACCUGCACGAAUGGCGUAAUGAUGGCCAGGCUGUCUCCACCCGAGACUCAGUGAAAUUGAACUCGCUGUGAAGAUGCAGUGUACCCGCGGCAAGACGGAAAGACCCCGUGAACCUUUACUAUAGCUUGACACUGAACAUUGAGCCUUGAUGUGUAGGAUAGGUGGGAGGCUUUGAAGUGUGGACGCCAGUCUGCAUGGAGCCGACCUUGAAAUACCACCCUUUAAUGUUUGAUGUUCUAACGUUGACCCGUAAUCCGGGUUGCGGACAGUGUCUGGUGGGUAGUUUGACUGGGGCGGUCUCCUCCUAAAGAGUAACGGAGGAGCACGAAGGUUGGCUAAUCCUGGUCGGACAUCAGGAGGUUAGUGCAAUGGCAUAAGCCAGCUUGACUGCGAGCGUGACGGCGCGAGCAGGUGCGAAAGCAGGUCAUAGUGAUCCGGUGGUUCUGAAUGGAAGGGCCAUCGCUCAACGGAUAAAAGGUACUCCGGGGAUAACAGGCUGAUACCGCCCAAGAGUUCAUAUCGACGGCGGUGUUUGGCACCUCGAUGUCGGCUCAUCACAUCCUGGGGCUGAAGUAGGUCCCAAGGGUAUGGCUGUUCGCCAUUUAAAGUGGUACGCGAGCUGGGUUUAGAACGUCGUGAGACAGUUCGGUCCCUAUCUGCCGUGGGCGCUGGAGAACUGAGGGGGGCUGCUCCUAGUACGAGAGGACCGGAGUGGACGCAUCACUGGUGUUCGGGUUGUCAUGCCAAUGGCACUGCCCGGUAGCUAAAUGCGGAAGAGAUAAGUGCUGAAAGCAUCUAAGCACGAAACUUGCCCCGAGAUGAGUUCUCCCUGACUCCUUGAGAGUCCUGAAGGAACGUUGAAG